rnacentral:misc_RNA from 1 species
CCCUUAUCUAGCUAAAGCAUUUUAUCUUUUUUAUUUUUCCAUUCAUCAUUAUUGUAUUUAUUCUUACCUUCAUACUUAAAUCUAGAUAUUGGACAUAGAAUGCCAAUUUAAAAAAUGUAAAAAAGGGAGCAAUCCGCUGUUAUCUUGCUAGAACAAGAUAACAGCGGAUUGCUCCUUCAACAAUUCAUAUACACUAAGACCUAAGUC